GACCGAUAGUGAAGCAGUACCGUGAGGGAAAGGUGAAAAGAACCCCGGGAGGGGAGUGAAAUAGAACCUGAAACCGUGUGCCUACAACCGCUCAGAGCCCCUUAUGAGGGUGAUGAGGUGCUUUUUGUAGAACGAGCCAACGAGUUACGGUAUGUAGCAAGGUUAAGUACUUAAGGUACGGAGCCGAAGGGAAACCGAGUCUGAAUAGGGCGACUAGUUGCAUGCCGUAGACCCGAAACCGGGUGACCUAUCCAUGGCCAGGUUGACGCGAGGGUAAAACCUCGUGGAGGACCGAACCACGUUGCUGUUGAAAAAGCAUGGGAUGAGCUGUGGAUAGCGGAGAAAUUCCAAUCGAACCCGGAGAUAGCGGGUUCUCUCCGAAAUAGCUUUAGGGCUAGCGUCGAGUAUGAGUAGUGGAGGUAGAGCACUGAAUGGGCUAGGGGGCAUAGCGCUUACCGAACCUUAUCAAACUCCGAAUGCCACAUACUUUGAGCUCGGCAGUCAGACUACGAAUGAUAAGAUCCGUGGUCAAAAGGGAAACAGCCCAGAUCGUCAGCUAAGGUCCCAAAGUGUAAGUUAAGUGGGAAAGGAUGUGAGAUUUCUAAGACAACUAGGA
rnacentral:rRNA from 1 species